GAUUAGCUGCCGAAGACAGCAGGUGCCGUAAGGUAUAAUGAGAGAUCGCCUGCCGAGGAAAGGUUCAUUCUUAAUCAGUGAAACGAAAGCCCAGGGCUUUUGUGGAUAUAAGAUUGAUAUAUACCUCUUUGUCUUUCGGACAAAGAGGUUUUUCUUA
rnacentral:sRNA from 1 species